GGGGAGCGAACAGGAUUAGAUACCCUGGUAGUCCACGCCGUAAACGUUGGGCACUAGGUGUGGGGACCAUUCCACGGUUUCCGCGCCGCAGCUAACGCAUUAAGUGCCCCGCCUGGGGAGUACGGCCGCAAGGCUAAAACUCAAAGGAAUUGACGGGGGCCCGCACAAGCGGCGGAGCAUGCGGAUUAAUUCGAUGCAACGCGAAGAACCUUACCAAGGCUUGACAUGUUCUCGAUCGCCGUAGAGAUACGGUUUCCCCUUUGGGGCGGGUUCACAGGUGGUGCAUGGUUGUCGUCAGCUCGUGUCGUGAGAUGUUGGGUUAAGUCCCGCAACGAGCGCAACCCUCGUUCCAUGUUGCCAGCACGUAGUGGUGGGGACUCAUGGGAGACUGCCGGGGUCAACUCGGAGGAAGGUGAGGACGACGUCAAAUCAUCAUGCCCCUUAUGUCUUGGGCUUCACGCAUGCUACAAUGGCCGGUACAAUGGGUUGCGAUACUGUGAGGUGGAGCUAAUCCCAAAAAGCCGGUCUCAGUU
rnacentral:rRNA from 1 species